CAGUCGCCGCGGUAAUACGAAGGGUGCAAGCGUUGCUCGGAAUCACUGGGCGUAAAGGGUGCGUAGGCGGGUUUCUAAGUCAGGGGUGAAAUCCCAGAGCUCAACUCUGGAACUGCCUUUGAUACUGGGUAUCUUGAGUAUGGAAGAGGUUAGUGGAAUUGCGAGUGUAGAGGUGAAAUUCGUAGAUAUUCGCAGGAACACCAGUGGCGAAGGCGGCUAACUGGUCCAUAACUGACGCUGAGGUGCGAAAGCGUGGGGAGCAAACAGGAUUAGAGACCCCUGUAGUCCCUGUCUCUUAUAC
rnacentral:rRNA from 1 species